rnacentral:rRNA from 1 species
GACGAAGCCCUGGGUCGCAAACGGGAUUAGAUACCCCGGUAGUCCAGGGUGUAAACGCUGCAGACUUGGUGUUGGGGACCCUACGUGGGUGUUCAGUGCCGGAGAGAAGUUGUUAAGUCUGCUACUUGGGGAGUACGUCCGCAAGGAUGAAACUUAAAGGAAUUGGCGGGGGAGCACCGCAACGGGAGGAGCGUGCGGUUUAAUUGGAUUCAACACCGGAAAACUCACCAGCGGCGACUGUUACAUGAAAGUCAGGCCGAUGACCUUACUAGAUUUUCAGAGAGGUGGUGCAUGGCCGUCGUCAGUUCGUACCGUAAGGCGUUCUCUUAAGUGAGAUAACGAACGAGACCCUC